GAUCUGGGGAGUGGCCAGCAGUGUACUUGGUCUCCACUGAGGGGUGAGCUCGGAAGAGGUGAUGGGGCAGGGUCUGCUUACCUGAGGUAGGAGAUGACGCCCAUGGCCCUGCAAGAAUGAAAACACCCCAUUUGUGAGUUACACCAGGCCUGUCCCACAGGCAAGGGGUAUGCACAGGGGGUGGGGUUGGGGGGUAGGGGGGCUGGAAGAGGAGGCAGAGGCUCCUCAGCUGCCAGACAGACACACGAAGGACAGGGAGACUCCAGAUCAACAGCCCUCUAGGUGGGCCAUCCACUCACCAGAUGUCUGAGCCCUCGCUCACAGGAUUCUGCUCAAUGAUCUCUGGGGACACGAAUUCGGGUGAGCCAUACUUGCUGUACUGUGGCUCUGAAGGGGUGAUCUUUUGGGCAAAGCCAAAGUCACAGAUCUUGAUGUCUUCCCGAGCUGGGUGCACCAUCAGGAUGUUGGGGGGCUGUCAGAUAGAGUUGAGAAGUUGUUCAAGGCUACACUUCAUGAAAAAGGUAACUCCUACCCUCUGGGCCUAGGAGAGCACUGAAGAGUCCUUGAGGCUAGUAAAGGGCAGUGGGGAGUCCCCAGGACCGAGAGGGGAAUCACAUCUACUCCAUGAGAGCCAAACCCUACCUGAGGUAGUAGAAACCAAGCACAGGCUGGCUCCCAGCUGUGCCCACCACGAGUUCUGGGGGUGCCGUGAAUGCAAUACCUUUAUGUCCAGGUGGAGGAUACCAUGGCUGUGCAAAUAGUGUAGGCCUUCCACCAGCUGCUGGAUAUAGACUUUGACCUGUGGAAAAUGCCAGGAUCAGUUUGGAACCAGCCCCCAAGAGGCUGGCUCAGGAACCUCCUGAAGGCCUGACCCAGGUGAGGGGCCAGCCUCAGGUACCUCCUGAAGGCCUGGCCCAGGUGAGGGGCCGCCUCAGGUACCUCUUGAAGGCCUGGCCCAGGUGAGGGGUCAGCCUCAGGUACCUCCUGAAAGCCUGACCCGGGUGAGGAGCCAGCCUCAGGUACCUCCUGAAAGCCUGAUCCGGGUAAGGGGCCAGCCUCAGGUACCUCCUGAAGGCCUGACCCAGGUGAGGGGCCAGCCUCAGGAACCUCCUGAAGGCCUGACCCAGGUGAGGGGCCAGCCUCAGGUACCUCCUGAAGGCCUGGCCCAGGUGAGGGGCCAGCCUCAGGUACCUCCUGAAGGCCUGACCCAGGUAAGGGGCCAGCCUCAGAUACCUCCUGAAGGCCUAGUCCAAAUGAGGGUCCAGCCUCAGGAACCUCCUGAAGGCCUGACCCAGGUGAGGGGCCAGCCUCAGGAACCUCCUGAAGGCCUGGCCCAGGUGAGGGACCAGCAUCAGGUACCUCCUGAAGACCUGACCCAGGUGAGGGGCCAGCCUCAGGUACCUCCUGAAGGCCUGGCCCUGGUGAGGAGCCAGCCUCAGGUACCUCCUGAAAGCCUGACCCGGGUGAGGGACUAGCCUCAGGUACCUCCUGAAGACCUGGCCCAGGUGAGGGGCCAGCCUCAGCCUCCUCUAUUCCAUAGGAGCUUGCUUCGAUCAUCAAGCCUUCCUCCUCUUAAUUCAGGCCCCAUAGAUCAAGUGACUGACAAAGUCACAGGUCAGGAACUGCAAGCCCCAGGGCUGGGUGUUUCCCAAAGGUGGGCUGAGCCUAAAUAGGCAGGAAGCAUCAGUCUGCUUAAAUGAGGGAGGGGCAGAUAUCACUAGUACAGCUGUUCCCCUAUGGUCAGGACGGGUGGCAGAGGCUGGUUAUACCUGGCUACCUUGGAAGCUACAAGAGACUCAAGUCAAAAGAGGCUGUGUCCGGGGACUGGAAUGUAGGCUCUGACUCUAGGGACACACUCAGGCAAGGAGAAGGUAGAGAUUACCUCGGCUUCAGUCACUACACCCUUCUUGAAGAGCCGAUCCAGCAGCUCCUCAGACGAGCACCUGGGUUUCGUUAAGGAAAAGCCGCACCUGACUCCCCGGGGCCUGUGCUCCCAGAAAGGUACCCAGACCUCCUGUGAGCCAGAUCUAGAGGUGCUGGUAUUCUGAUGAAGGAGAGUGGAAUGAUGACCCUUGGGUCCCAGAUGGGUCACAUCCCUGAGAAAGGGACCUUCAGAAAGACCCUCUGGUGAGUGGGGCUGUGAGCAGCAGCCUAAUGGAACUUGGACACUCUUGCAUCUCUGCACAGAGCCCACUCCACGCAGCCCUUCACCGGGAUCCUAGGACACAGCUUCAGGAGUGAAAGGGCAGCCAGAAUGUGAAAUAAGUAAGAGCCCCAAACACGCCUCCAUGGGUGUGACGGAGGCCAAGAGCAGUUGGAAUGGGAGCCCCCUCUCCAAUACCUAAGAGGUCACCUCUGAGAGGGGUCCCAGGCCAUCCUUGCUAAGAAUCAAGAUUGUGGCGGCCCCCAUCUGUGACCC
ensembl:antisense